GACGAACGCUGGCGGCGUGCUUAACACAUGCAAGUCGAGCGGAAAGGCCACUUCGGUGGUACUCGAGCGGCGAACGGGUGAGUAACACGUGAGUAAUCUGCCCCUGGCUUUGGGAUAGCCACCGGAAACGGUGAUUAAUACCGGAUACGACCACUUCUCGCAUGGGAUGGUGGUGGAAAGUUUUUUCGGCCAGGGAUGUGCUCACGGCCUAUCAGCUUGAUGGUGAUGUAAUGGCUCACCAUGGCUUCGACGGGUAGCCGGCCUGAGAGGGUGACCGGGCACACUGGGACUGAGACACGGCCCAGACUCCUACGGGAGGCAGCAGUGGGGAAUAUUGGACAAUGGGCGGAAGCCUGAUCCAGCAACGCCGCGUGAGGGAUGACGGCCUUCGGGUUGUAAACCUCUUUCAGCAGGGACGAAGCGCAAGUGACGGUACCUGCAGAAGAAGCACCGGCCAACUACGUUCCAGCAGCCGCAGUAA
rnacentral:rRNA from 1 species